rnacentral:rRNA from 1 species
UACAGAGGUCUCAAGCGUUGUUCGGAUUCAUUGGGCGUAAAGGGUGCGUAGGCGGCGCGGUAAGUCGGGUGUGAAAUCUCGGGGCUUAACUCGGAGCCUGCAGGCGAAACUGCCGUGCUUGAGUGUGGGAGAGGUGCGUGGAAUUCCCGGUGUAGCGGUGAAAUGCGUAGAUAUCUGGAGGAACACCGGUGGCGAAGGCGGCAUCCUGGACCGACACUGACGCUGAGGCGCGAAAGCUAGGGGAGCAAACGGG